rnacentral:snRNA from 1 species
GUGCUCACUUCAGCAACACAAAUACUAAGAUUGGAACAAUACAGAGAAGAUUAGCAUGGCCCCCGUGCAAGGAUGACAUGUAAAUUCGUGGAGCAUCCCAUAUUUUU